UGAACAAGGUGAGUUCAUUUUGUGAUGUCACUUCAGAAGGGGUGGAGAGACUCGCUGUUUUCUUCAGAUGAACGGCACAUGUCCAUACUCGGUAGAAGAAGGUAGCAGAAGCGUUCUGCAGGCCAGAUUUUCACCUCAGUGAGCAGAGACAACCACCAUGGCUACAGUUGUACCAUGCGCAUCAUGUUAUGCCAGCAGCAGUGUGCAACCCUUACAGCUUUUUGGGAAGAAUGCUGGUGGGGCAUACAUGUCCCUCCUGACAUACCAUGGCCCUCGGCAAACCGCCCGACCCCGCCUAGCCUGCCAUGCCCCAAAGAUGACUCUGCGGCAGAUCUGCUACAUGCUCCGAGUCAUGAGGCAGCUCAGAUCCCGAGAGGCUGCUGCCGCUGCUGCCGCUGCCAGAAAACAAGGGUCUCCACUACCUGUCCCCAGCUCUCCGUCCAUUAAGUCAGUUGAGCGGCGGUGUCUCCCAGCCUGCUUCAGACGCAGGCGUCCGGCCAAUAUAAAAAGAGCAGGUUAGUCUGGGAGCAGACCUUCAGUGGACCUCUAUUAGGCAGUGAGCGCAAAGGGCUUCAGAACUCCCUGAAAGAGACCCCAAUGUUGCAUGUUUUCUUUGUUGAGAGGGAUCAAGGGAUCAAGGGAUCAACAUGUUUUCUUAGUUGAGAAGGAUCAAAGGAAGAGACAUCACUUCUCCUGGCUUUCUCACUGAUUCGUUCAUACCCAUCUUCAUCUAACACAAAGGAUUUAAAUAUAUCACCUUUUUUCUGGACUACACACCUGAUGUCUUUUUAGGUGCCACUGUAAUCACAGCCAUCAGGAAAUGGACACAGUUGUUCUUCAGGUGCCUUUUUUAUUAUGCGGCCCUUCCCUAACUGCAGGAGUGAUUAAUUUGUAAAAUUAAAUGUUCUGUUCCUAGCAGGACCAGCUUAGUACCACAAGUUUCACUGAUGAAACAUUUUCCAAUGUCC
rnacentral:lncRNA from 1 species